rnacentral:rRNA from 1 species
ACGGAAGGCAGCAGUGGGGGAUAUUGCACAAUGGGGGAAACCCUGAUGCAGCGACGCCGCGUGAGUGAAGAAGUAUUUCGGUAUGUAAAGCUCUAAGUUGGGAAGAUAAUGACGGUACCAACAGAAUAAGCCCCGGCUAACUACGUGCCAGCAGCCGCGGUAAUACGUAGGGGGCAAGCGUUAUCCGGAUUUACUGGGUGUAAAGGGAGCGUAGACGGCAUAGCAAGUCUGAAGUGAAAUCAUAGGGCUCAACCCUGUAAUUGCUUUGGAAACUGUUAAGCUCGAGUACCGGAGGGGCAGGCGGAAUUCCUGGUGUAGCGGUGAAAUGCGUAGAUAUCAGGAAGAACACCGGUGGCGAAGGCGGCCUGCUGGACGGUAACUGACGUUGAGGCUCGAAAGCGUGGGGAGCAAACAGGAUUAGAUACCCUGGUA